GCCACAGUCACUUGAGGGAGGGGCCCAGCAUGGUUACUUCAGAAAGCAUCCUCCUUGACAACAUCUCUGUGCUCCUGACGCUGCCCUGCUGCCUGCAGAGCCUUUGAGGGGACAGUCGAGGACAUUUUCCUGCAGUGCUCCCUGGGGAAGUCUCUGGGCAUCUCACAGAACAGGGGAGAAACUUCUCACACAAACCUUGGAACACUUCUGCCUCCAGGACCUGAGCAAUACUUCCUAUGCCCCCAAAGCAGCAGCCUCCUGAGGAAAACAGCUCUAGCCACCUUAACUUCCAGCUGUCUUUCCACAGACCUCAGUCCCAAGCCUGACAGAAAGCCUGAGAGAACAUCACCUCCUACUUCUGUUUCUCUCCUCUCCUACCCUGGCCGCAGCCUCAGGGCAUCCGAGCCAGACACCCAGCUCCCAGAUUUGUGGGGAACCGUGUGAGUAAGAGAACGUUCUGGACGGCAGAACUUCACCACUGGGGCCUUGAUCGUGGACUUCCAGCCUCCAGAACCGAGAGACGUAAAUUGCUGAGAUCACCUGGUCUGUGGCAGAUCUGUUACAGUAGCCUGAACUGAAUAACACUGAGAAUCUCUUGGGGUUCGCCCCCAAGGGCUGCAGAGAGGCUCUUAGUCUGCCUGAACAUCACUGCUACCACCUCCGGGAGGCCCUGCCUGGGACGGAAGCCAGCUUGAGAAAAGAAGAAAAACUGGAGCCGGCUACCAUGGUCAAAUAGUUUAUGAUCCUUCCAGGCAAGGAGCUCAGGAGAAAGGAAGAUGUAGAGGUACCUUAAACAAACAGUCGCCCGGGGCACUCGGUUUGGAAGAUGAGACUGUCAGGGGGAGAAAUAGUGCACAUAAAAGUAAAAAAUGACUUCGGUGCCCGUGCAAGGGUGUUUGUGUUGCACGUACAUGGGAGAAUUGGAAAAGCUCUCCAGAAGCUUUAAAUGGAGGAGAAAUGUCAUCCUGUCCAAGAUGUCAUCUCUGCAGACGGACUCCUUGAAGGGCCACGUCAAACCUAGUCCUCAGAUGCAUGUUGCCGUUAGAAAAUUCAAGAUC